rnacentral:rRNA from 1 species
CCUACGGGAGGCAGCAGUGGGGAAUAUUGCACAAUGGGGGAAACCCUGAUGCAGCGACGCCGCGUGAGUGAAGAAGUAUUUCGGUAUGUAAAGCUCUAUCAGCAGGGAAGAAAAUGACGGUACCUGACUAAGAAGCCCCGGCUAACUACGUGCCAGCAGCCGCGGUAAUACGUAGGGGGCAAGCGUUAUCCGGAUUUACUGGGUGUAAAGGGAGCGUAGACGGUGAUGCAAGUCAGAAGUGAAAGCCCGGGGCUCAACUCCGGGACUGCUUUUGAAACUGUGUGACUGGAGUGCAGGAGAGGUAAGCGGAAUUCCUGGUGUAGCGGUGAAAUGCGUAGAUAUCAGGAGGAACACCAGUGGCGAAGGCAGCAUACCGGCGCUCAACUGACGCUCAUGCACGAAAGCGUGGGUAUCGAACAGGAUUAGAUACCCCUGUAGUC